AUCAGUCCAAACGCCCCGGUGUUCUGCCGCGGAUUCUACCAUCUCUUCUACCGAUUCACCACUCCAUCGUCGUCCAAGAGCAAGAACCAGAGCUCCUGGGGCCACGCCAUCGCCAAGGACCUCCUCCACUGGCCACGGCGCUGGAUCCCAGGCCAGAGAGGUACGACGAGCAAGGAAUUCUUGGCGGAUCCAUGACGCUUCUCGUCCAGGGCCCCGUAAUCCUCUACACUGGAAUCUCCAGCGAUGGCGCCACCACACAGAAUGCCGCUGUCCCGGUCGAUCCAGGCGACGCCAUGCUCAAGCACUGGAAGAAGAUCGCCCAAAACCCCCUCAUUCCAGCAGGAGGAGGGAUGGCGAUGAGAGAUCCAAGCAGCGCGUGGAGGGAUUCUUCUUGGCGGAUCCUUCUUGGCGGCGAGAAUGCCAGCAAUGGCGUUGGAUUCGUCUACUGGAGCAACGAUUUCCUGGACGGGGAGUGGAAGAGGCUGGAGACACCACUGCUGCGAAUGGCAGGAGCUGGGAUUUUGGAAUCUCCAGAUUUCUUCCAGGUUCCAUGGGCAGGAUUUGCAUCUCGUUGCUUUUAGCAAGGCCAGACUUUUUCGUGGAGUGGCUGCGCAGGAGCAGCGAGCUCGUUCUUGAGCUGGUGAAAGUGCUCCUCACACUCAUGGUGGCGGGUAUCAGAGGUAAACUUUUGGAGUGCUUACAGUCUCCCGUUUUGGACGUGCUGCCUUGGGAGAUCAAGCAGAAGUUUGAUCUACGUCCGAAGUUCUGGAAAAAGACCUGUUGGAGCUCAUGGCGAUCACAGGUGAUCCUUUCCUCGUCUUGACGCGUCGAAGCGGUGGUCACGAUAAUGUACCGCGAAGUGUUGGCAUCGAGCCUUCUGCCGGAGUUUUCAGCUCGAAGGGUUUGCAAGCCACGAGCUGUGAGCGGACAGGGAACUGGUCGAAAAAAGAGGAGGCACUGGUUGAGUUGCGAGCAAGUAUGAAAGGAAAGAAGAAGGAAAACGAGUACCGAGGCGAGGCGAAGUCAGUGUUUAGCUCACUCGGCUUGAAAGACGGCAACUCUUACGUUCGAGCUUUCCUCACCACGGCGUGCCCGCUGUUUUAUAUCCUUUUUCUUUCCAUUCUUUUGGCAACUCUUUCUUUCCUGCAGGCCUCCGCGGACGAUUUUCUAGUCGACUUGAGCUCCGCGAUAGAAAUAAUGAAAAUGGGACUCGGUAUCAGGCCAAAGCAAGAAAAAGCCCGGUGUUUGCUUCAAAACAUGAUCCUGUUCCAAGACAAGCUCGAGUGCAUGACAGCGCUUCUAAAUCCCAGGUGUGUACAUUUAAAGUUCGAAAAGCAAAUUAGGUGCUUACUCCUGGCUGGAUGCUCGCACAGGGACGCCAGACACGAGCUCCUCGACUUGGCUGUUCUGCAAAAAUCAGUCCAAGCACUGCGAGAGGAGCUCGAGAAAGGGAAGGAACUUCUGGGCGACCACGUCAAAAGGCUGCUAAGCAAUCGCUGGGACUUGCGAGAGUGGCAAUAAGCUUGAUCUCAUGUAGAUAGUACCAUAGAGCGAACUCCGUAAAAUAGAGAAAACGUUAAUAGCAAACAACUAUAAGCAACAGAAACCUUAGCGAUACUUGAAAAAAAUAUUAACUUAGCCACAGUUAAAAUCACAACUUUUUACCUUUCGUUCUAUUGAUAAUUACAGCACGAUUCAUUCCCAAGUUGUGUGUUUGACUCCUUAGAUGAAUAAUUCUCGUAAAUAUCUGAUACACUCUGUUUUGGUCCCACUAGGAUUUCGUAGCUGCCAUAUAAACAUAGCUUCUUUCUGUAAAACAACCAUUAGAUAAUAUCUUGUGAAUGGAAGGUUCGAAGUAUUACCAGCUCACCCACUCUCGGACCACUCACAAUGUGAAAUUCGAGUUUGAGAUCGUUCCCCGUGAGCAAAGGUUUUAAAUUUAACAAUCCUGAAAAAAGUAUUGAAUAUUGAAAACGAAAAAAACUACUACUUCUUACCAGAUAAGCUGAUGCUUUUUAGAAUAGCGUUAAACACGUCUUUCUGCUGGACGCUAGGAGCUGGCACGGAGAGAAAUAAAGCAGCAGCUGACAAGCAGAAGUCCCUGUCUCUGAAGGCUAGGCCGGCCUCUACUCGAAAACUUUCGUUGAAAAAACAAGGUAAUCCUCCAGAAAGUGUACAUUUGUUCAACUCAUACCAAUCUUGCACGAAGGUAUUUCCAAUUGCUUUGUACAAUGCUUUCACCUGCUACACAAGACAGUUCAAGAGAGGAAGGAAAUGUAUAGAACGUGUACCUUUUUAAGCAUUCCCUUUAAUCCUAUUCUCUCGGCCAUCGAGCCCAAAACUGUAUCGUUUUCUUUCUUGAAUGGAUAGAGAAUCCCAGCAACAAGAACAAGACGCCUUUCACCUUCCUGCGUUGAGUAAGUUAAAGAGUCAAAACCAAAGUGUUCAGUGUAAGUACCUCAGCAAUGUUGACAGACUCUAGAGUCUCGCAAACGACUUGAAAGUCCUUCACACUAGCAAAGAUUUAAAUGAGUUCGAGAAACGAAAAGGAGGGACUGAACUGACUACCUUUGCGCACUCACUGGCCUCGUAAAAAUCAGAGGCCAAUAACCAAGCUUGUGCAGCAGGCACAUCGCCCGAGCAGGAUUCUUUCCGAAGAGCAUGGCUUGAAUCUGAAAAACGAAUGUAAGAGGCACACGAAAAAUAAAAACCAAGAGAUCGUAUUCCACCUCCUGAGAAAUGCGCUCCCUGGUGAUCUUUGUUUUGAAUGCAGCCUUCACAGAAUCAGCAGAUGCCACGCACUCCAGUUCCUCGUCCAGCUCAAAAUUAAAGCGUGCCGCUGAUCAGGAAAAAGAAAGGUAAUUAGCUUCCAGAUAGAAUUCUAAGAUGAAGACAAGUCGUCACAGACCAAACCGAAUGGAUCUCAGGACACGCAAUGGAUCAUCUAGAAAAGUAACGAGCGGAGACAACGGCGUCCUGAUCUUUCCAAGCUUGAGGUCCGUUACACCUGGACAACAAAGUUGUGGAAAGAAUCGAAAGAUGAAAUCUACACAAACCUCGACCAGUGAAGUCCUCAACCUUGUCAGCGGCAACGUUGUAGAAGAGGCUGUUGAUCGUGAGAUCUCUCCGGUAAGCGUCUUCGGAAGGUGUUCCAAAUUUCUAGCAAGAAGGAAAAGAGCGUAACAACAAGAGGAAGUCGAGUGAAAAUCAACAGGGCCAUAGUACCAUUGAUGUUGGGAUCCUGGAAUCGUUGGAGUACGUCUCGGAUCGGAGAUUAACAACAUCAAUCUCUCCACCCAGGAUCUCCAGCUUGGUCGUUUCUAAAUGCUUGGAUCGUUCUGGAUUGCUACAACAUGUAAAUUCCAGUUGUUAGAAAAAUAACAAGCUCUAGACAACACAAACCUUUUGAUAACUUUGUAAGAACACGAAGGAUCGGUCUUCCUCAAGCACGGGACCACACGAUCACAGAACUGCUGCCCAGUCAUAUCAUCCAGCGCAAUAUCCAAAUCGUGGCUCUCGACGCCAAGGAGCUGCGCAAAUUGAAUUGAGCUAGAACGAUUGAUCGAAAACACCAGACCUUAUCGCGCACCCAUCCGCCCGCCACUCUCACGUCGGUCUUCAAGUCGCAUUCACGGAUCGCCAGACGGAGAGCGUCGAGAAUCUUCGCUUCCUCGCGCGUGAGCACGAUGGUCGUCAUGAGCUCUAGAACCCUAAAGGAAGAUCCUUUGAGAAUUAAAACUCCCGCCAAAACUCUAGUGGAAGCUAGGGUUUAUUGGAGAAACUGUUCUCGUCACGCGGAGCAUUGUCUACGUCAGAUGCGUCAUAUGCAGGGCGAUUUGAUGCGUGACCCAUCGCUGCGCGCGUUCAGAUAUUUGCGCGGAAGAUCAAAGCGUUCUCCAUUUUCCAUCAGAUUCUUGCCGACGAUCUCACUCGGCAACAGCAUGAGCUCUGUCCUGCCUCAUUCGAAAACUUGCUCAAGCUUAUCGGAAAUGGUGAGCUAUGUUUUUUUCUUUGGCGAAGUUUCUAUGAUGGAUGGAUUGUAUGAACAGAUGUUACGAAUGACGCUAUUGCCGAAGUUCCUCUUGCACGCUUGCUCUGUGGUUUCAUCACGGCCUUACAUCAGUGGUUUCGACGUGCUCGCUGACUUUUGCGAGAGGCUUUCAGCGUGCGGUUUUUGCAGCAAGGUACUUAUCAAAGGGCUUUGUUUUCAUUACAGAAAUCUCGGAUUUUGCAGCCGCUUUGGAAAGCAUACAACCUCGCUCUCAUGGUAAUCUAGAUCUGGUAUGAGCCGUUUUGACACCCUUGUUGCAUGCGGAAAAGCUGGCGAAGUUACAGAGGCUGAACAACCAGAUGCAGCUCAGUGAAACAGGUGAUAGAUCUUGUUGCAUAUUUCGGGACUGACUAUUGCUCAGUAACGGCGAAAGCAACAACCUUUCCAGGCAUGCCAACCGAGUGUCAAUGUGGUUUGGCCUUGCAAGGUAACAAAACGGUGCUUCCUUUUGUAAACUAGGUGUUCUUUUUCUGGCAGUGGACGUGGAUUCCCAUAGGCUGGACAAGUCGAUGAGAUGCUUAGAUGUUUUGGUCCUGGCCAAGCACUUAAUCGAUAUUUACUUACUCUCAAGCUCUCUUGGUGCUUGGGAUACCUCGAGAGGGGUCUCCAUCUCAUGCAAGAGGCUUUUCAACGAUGUGAGAUCCAGAGCUUAGCCACUGUGAGCAACGGACUUCCGUGAGUUGAGGAUUUUACGUUUUAUAACAUUCUAAUAUGCUUUUCUUUCUUGUAGAGCAUUCUGGAGGUUCUGGAGCUGGAAGGGACGAGCGUCCGUGUGAGUUGGGCAUCUCGAUAGAGAGUUUAAUUCCGAAGGUAAGGUAUCUGCAGGGAGCGUGAGUGACAAAUAUUUACAACCUCGUCAAUAGGUGCUGAAAACACUCUCGUUCAGCGACGUGAUAAGUCUCUUCCGAUGGCUUCUUCCCCUCAAAGGAAACGUCUGGGGAGGUAUGUAAAGAAGUCUUACGAGUCUUCUUCGUGUUUACGAGUGUCCCUUGCUCGCAGCUUCGCCUUCUCCUGAUGCUGCUCCGGACGCUUAUCCGAGACAAAUGGCCCAGCGCGAGCGGUGACUGGAGCUCCGCUCUCUUUUGGAAUGGCUUUUAACGUCUCGAGCAAUACACUUCUAUCCAACUGACGGUGACAAAGCGACCAAGGUCAUAUGCGCAUCAAAAGCUUCCGCGACCAGACGAUUGUUGUUUCACUGACUUCGUUGUCCGGGUAGAAAUCGCCGUGAAUGUGUACCUCGGGGUGGUUUGGAUGGAAGGCAAGGGCAAGACUAAUUACACAGGUCUGCUUGCGCGUCCUGACAGGGAAGUGGAGGCUUAAGCCUCUUCGUGAGCAGGGCAAAACCGUUCGUCUCAGCGAGCCACUGUGGAAGCAUGAGGUUGAUAUGGCGCGUUCCAUUAUCGAGUAAGCUCUUCGUGUCAAUCAGGAACCGGAGGAAUGGCAUGCUUCUGCCUUGAGAGAAACUCUCUUAGGUUUUGAAUACAAUGGAAUAUACGAGAAUAGUUUAAAUGAGAAUAUACCUCCUGCACGACUACUAUUUAGGUUUAUACUCAGGCAAGCAUGGAAGAACCUCCAAAGGUUGUAUUGACAGAGAUUGAGGAGUUUUGUUCGGGUCUACAGCCGAAUCACGAAGGUAAGUAUGUGAUUUGAUUCCAAUUUUCACUGUUCUUAUAUUUGAUAUCUACCAGCUACUACUAGAGAUGAAGAAGCCUACAGCAGGAUGGAUUUCAAAUCUUUGCUGCCAACAAAAGAGGAUCACGUAGGGAAAGGACUGGCUGGCGCUCUUCAAUGUUUUCGAGAGAAUGGGAGCUUGAAGGAAUCUAGAGGCGAAUGGAUUGGAAGAAGCAGGGACAAAAGAACUCCAGAAAAUGGUAAAUUCGAAUUCAACUUGGACCACCGCGAUGAGCAUGGCCGAACUGUAAGUUUUUGUUCUAUUUACUUUCUGAAUUUACUUUAUGUUUGAUGCAGCUGACCCCCAAGGAAGCCUUCCGGCAGUUCUCGCAUAAGUUCCACCAUGUAAAACCGGGGAAAAGGAAGCAAGAGAAGAAGCUAAAGAAGAGGAAGAAAGAAGAACACCCUCUGGAGUUUAUGGAGAGAUUGAGAGGCAUUCAAAUCAAGUCAAGAACAGCUUACAUUAGAACUUGACAAGAAAUUAACUUGUCAACUAAAUGAUUUUUAAUAGCGUUGUAUGAAAGCCCUUGGUGCAAUUCUACUUGCACCAAGGGCUUUCAUACACGCGGGAGCACUCAUUGCAAUGAUGUACGGUAAAGGUGGUAUUUGAUUCCACCGCGAUCCUUCUUCGCAAGCUUGUGAUGACUUGAACGGGCAUUUGGAGGAGGCCAAAAGACACGCUCCAAGGUCAUCUGGAAGAUGCAAAACGCAUCUUUGACUGUACAUCUAGUUUCAGGGACACAAGCAUGGCAUAUGGAAGAGACAUAAGGCGAAAUAAACAUCUGAGGAGAUCUCUUGGAACAGCAUUUUAUUUCAAGCACUUGCCGGAAACUCCGGAAGAGACUUUGAAAAAAGGCUUAGGGGCGGUUCAAAGAAGAAUUCGUCGAGAUAGCCCAACUCGGUGGCCCAUCUUUUUCCUGUGGGGCGAGAUCUUUCAAUGGCUUUGACGGACCAUGUCGAUGUCCACCUUUUUCAAGGGCCUCUGCUAUUGACGAUGUUAGCCUACAAUUGCAGACCUGAAAUUAGACACGAGAGGAUUGACCAUCCAAUCUAUGGAAACAGACGUGUGGAGGCAAAGGUAUUAGCUUGCAAUAUAAAACUCUAUAGGCUCCUGGGGAUAUUAAAUUUUUCUUCAACGCUUCCCUGGAUCCACAAACUUCAGCAGUGCUGGAAAAGCUUAUAUUCUAGCAAGAAGGCAAAGUUUUUGCAAUGUCAAAGGUUUUGCUCAGCAGCUUUCAACGCACUGGCGGUGGAAGCCUCCAGUUAUUUGGAGGCACUAAUCUCAAGAGCAACGCACAGCCGAAUCGGUUUCGGAAAGGUAAGUUCAUCAAACUAGCUUCGCACUAAAACUGGCCUGCUAUAUUACUUAUGCAGUUAGCUCCUGUGCUUCAAAGCCAGCUGAGGCUCUAGUAAGUCGAAGCACCAUCGUUACAAGAUUGAUUGGAGCUGAUUUCUUCCUACUUGUUGACAGGAGAAGCGGGAAAAGGAGAAGCAGCAGCCAUAUCAAGGCAUUCUCCACGUCCAGGCUGGCGAUCGAAUCGAGGAGCUUGAUCACAGAGAAACGUCUCUGCUCGUCAAGGAAGUGAAGGGAUGGCUGAUGAAACUCGCGAGUGGCAAGGGGAAAAUCAGUCCUUCGACUUACGACACCGCCUGGGUCGCCCGAAUCCCGUCCGACUCCGACUCCUCUCUUCCCGAGUUCCCGGAGGCCCUGGAGUGGAUCAUCAACAGUCAACUUCCGGAUGGAUCAUGGGAUGAUGAUUGUCACUUGCAACUCUAUGACAGAGUGUUAUCCACGCUCUCUUGCCUGAUCACGCUCAAGCUCUGGGACAUCGGGCACAACAGCAUUGCGCAAGGCAUGGCUCUUUUCUGAUCUUCUGGUCAUAUCCUGGACUGUUUUCGCCUCUGAUUCUUCGCAGGCACGAAGUUUUUGCGUGAGAACAUGAUCAAGCUCAACCAUGACGAUGGAGAUUUCUUGUCAGGUUUCGAGGUGACGUUUCCAAUGAUGCUCCACGAAGCAAAGCGGGUGGGCCUUAAGCUUCCGUAUGACACAGAGUUCACGAGGUUGCUUGAGAUCUCCACCACGGAGAAAUUGGCGAAGUGUAAUAUUUGGUUUGAAAACGUUUGGUGUUCGUCCAGGAUUCCUUUGGAUAGACUCCAUUCCACUCCCGCCACGUUGCUAUACUCCUUGGAGGGCCUUCAAGGUCUUGAGAUUGACUGGCAAAAGAUCCUCAAGCUUCAGUCCAAAGAUGGAUCCCUUUUUAGCUCGCCCUCGUCAACCGCAUGUGUUUACUUGAAGACCAAGGACAAAAAAUCGUUGCAAUACUUGCAAAAAGCUAUGAAACAUCAAAACUAUGCUGGUAAACCGGCUGUCUUCUUCAAUCCUUUGUAGUAAUUGACUAUGCUGUGCAGUUUCUUGUCAUUACCCUAUUGAUCUCUUCGAAAGUUCACGGGUGGUCGACACCAUUGAGCGCUUGGGCAUUGAUCUCUUCUUCAGAGAUGAGAUCAAAGCCGUCCUUGACAACCUGUACAGGUGCAAUGCCGCUAUACUUUUAGUACUUACUUUGGGUUUGCACCAGCUUCUGGACAAACGAAGGAAUUGGAUGGGGAUCUACGUGCAUAGUCAAUGACAUCGAGGACACAGCAAUGGCCUUCCGUAUCCUUCGGAUGCAUGGGUAUAGUGUAUCUCCAGGUACAAAAACGUUUUGUGAUGGAAGAAUCUAAAUCUCGGAACUACGCACAGAUGCAUUCAACCAGUUCUGGCUGCCAGGAGACAAGUUUUGUUGCUUUGUUGGUGAAUUGUCCCAUGAGGUCUCUGCAAUGCUCAACUUGUAUCGGGCUUCCCAGGUUGAUUUUCCGAAUGAGGAGACUCUUACAAAGACUUUCAAGUACUCCCACGAUUAUUUACUUAAUGUUGAAAGCUCUCACACAUCGGCAACCAAGAAAAACCUCAUGGGAGAGGUAAUGAGAUCUAGAUAGCUUGAAAAUCCAGAUGUAUCUAUUAUCUCUACAGGUCACAUUGGAGCUAGCAAAUCCAUUUCAUGACUGCUUGCCGAGGAUUUACAAUAAUGCAUAUAUCAAACACUAUAGCAUUGAUGAUCCUUGGGUUGCUAAGACUAUUUAUCGGUAAGUGACAUUCAUAUUAACCUUUAUAACUUCCCUCUCUUACAUCUCUUUUGUUAAAAGAUUGCCUCUUGUGAAUAAGAAAGUGCUUCUAGAACUUGCAAAUCAGUAUGCUCAACAAUGUCAAUCCUAUCAACCUUCUGAGCUGAAAAUAUUGGUGAAGUAAGUGAAAAAAUAGUAUUAUUAAACAAAAAGUAAUUCAUUGGUGUGUUUUUAUUUAGAUGGUGGCAUUCAUCGCACUUUGAAGAUAUCCCUUCUACAAGAUUUAAAGCUAAUAUUAAUAUGCUCCCCUAUAUUUACUAUGUUAUUUGCUCAACUUUCCAUGAGCAAGAAUUUGGCCCAUUGAGAAUUUUUUUCACAAAAACUUGCUGCAUGAAUACUUUAUUUGAUGAUCUUUUGGAUAGUGCAAAAAACAUUACAGAGCUUGAUCAUCUCCAAAAUAUGAUUGAAAGGUUAUAUGCAUCAAUUUUUAAAAGUUAAAAUAACAGUUUCUUCUUUGUUUCCAUCCAGCUGGGAUACAUCUUUUUUAUCACAAAAAGAAUAUAAGAUUAUCUUUCAAGAAUUUUAUAAUACCAUUCUUGUUAUGACUGAAAUGGCCUCUAAAAUAAAUCAAAAUCUAUCUCCAAAAUUCAUCCACAAAUACCUUUUAGCAAUUGUAAGUACUUUCCAUUUAUUUUUUCAAUGGCUUAAUAUGGUUGUUUACAUUAAUCUUUACAGGGCACUGAACUUAUAAAAUCUGGGAUUAUUGAUGCUCGCUGGAAAAUUCAAGGAUAUAUUCCAGGUUUUGAGGAGUAUAUGGAAAAUGCUGAAGUUAGCAUUGGCAUUGCAACUCACUUACUUAUGGGCAUAUUAUUUUGUGGUGACUAUUUAACAGAAGAGUUAUUAAACAUCAUUUAUGAUAGCAAGCUUCUUAAACUUGGGAGUAUCAUCUCUAGGAUUUGCAAUGACAUCCAAACAUAUAAGGUUCCUUCUCUUCCUAUUUGACUUUUAUUAUUUUUAAUCUCUUUCUUUAUUUUUAGAUUGAGAUGAAACUGGGGCAAUCAGCACAUGGAGUUUCUUGUUAUAUGAAAGACCACCCGGGUGCAACUGAAGAAGAUGCAUUAGCAUACUUACAAAGUUUGCUCGAGAAAACCAAAAAGCAACUCAACAAAAUCUAUUUCACUGAGAAAGAUUUACCCAAAAAUAUCAAAAGGUUUAAUUUUGAUAUAGCACGGAUGAUGAUGUUCACCUACAACAAAGCAAAGCAGGAUCUCUUUAGAAACCCAAAUAAAGAGCUUCAAAGCAUGAUUGAAUUUUGUUUGGAAACUUAAUGUAACAUAUAUAUAAUGUUUUUAUAAUAUAUUCCCAUUCUAUUAGAUCAUCUCAGGUUUCCUUCCUCAAACAAAAACCAAACCUUAACUAAUGGUUAAGAAAACAUUUAAAGGAAAAACAAAAGGGUGAAGGUCUGUUAGCCCUUUAUGUUUGCCUCGACCUUGCCGAACAUCUAGUUUGGAGAUCCUUCAUCAUCCACAUCAGGAUUCGUUCACCAGCUCAAGGAUAAUAGAAGCAACGAGUAGUGAAACGUUUCAGAUCUACAAUUCUAUCCUUCUACCGAAGAUCUUCCUCCAAAACUGAUGCAAAACUGAGAACUCAGGAAGCUACAAGAGAAUACCUUCUGCAUUGAAGGCUCGAAUAAAUACGCCAUUACGACAAGUCCUACGGCAUCGGCUAGUAAAAUCCUGGAUUUGCCGCAAGAAACCGCAAAUCUGUCAUCUGAUAAUAAUGCGUUCAAAUAUUUAAUUAUUAUUAAGAGUACCAGUAUAUACUAGAAACUGGGAAUAAAGUGGUAUAUUCUCUAGUUUUCAAAUCACUAUCUAGAGCUCGCUUUUUCGUAGCUAUGGCGGAGGAAGAGGAGGACCACGCAUUCCUCGCUUCCACAGCACCGCGCAUUUUGAGAGCGUUUGAUGUCCAGCAGCGCGGAGGGGACGAGGAUCGACCGCUUCCGCGCCCGCUACCGAGGCCUCGUCUCCUCUGGGUGUCGCUGCUCGUUCUCCUGGCCGCGAUCUCGGCUGGAGGAAUCGCGCUUCUCUUCCGUGCACCCGGCAUUGGAUUCCACACCGCUGGAUCGGCCCGGGAUGGAGCAGCAAUGGCGCUGGGGUUUCACUUCCAGGCGCCCCCAAACAGCAGCAUCUGGAUGAUCAGUCCAAACGCCCCGGUGUUCUACCGCGGAUUCUACCAUCUCUUCUACCGAUUCACCACUCCAUCGUCGUCCAGUAGCAAGAACCAGAGCUCCUGGGGCCACGCCAUCGCCAAGGACCUCCUCCACUGGACGCAUCUCCCCACGGCGCUGGAUCCCGGGCCAGAGAGGUACGACGAGCAAGGAAUUCUUGGCGGAUCCAUGACGCUUCUCGUCCAGGGCCCCGUGAUCCUCUACA
rnacentral:lncRNA from 1 species